rnacentral:lncRNA from 1 species
GAGAUUCUGAGACAAAUGCCGUAAUCUCCCUACGCCCGAAAUCACAACAUGUAAUAUUAGUUUCGUCUCAAACGUCAUUCGAACCGGCGACAUCUACGCUUCGCCUAAGAUCUUUACCAGUUGAGGUAAGGACACUUGGUCUCUCUAUCUUAUACAUGGGAAAAUCUAAUAUUUCAUAUAUAAUCUUUUGCGUUAGUUUUUCUCUGACAUAUGCUAUCACUAUCUCACACAAGUCCUGGACUAAAACUCGUAAAGCAAGGAUUUUAGAUAUCUCAUGGUUAUUAACUUUUUAGAGGCAUCAACUUCUGAAAACGUCGAAGUAGUGUAGCGGUCAAACCUUGUAUUAUCCAUUCAACAGUUUUUAUUAGUGGGUCACUUUUGUUUUGCUUUAAGCACUAAAAUAGUUUCGGCUCGCCGUGCUAUUAAUAUAUGCGCGCAACUACGUAUUUUGGAAUACAAGCAGAAAAACUUCAAUAAUAUCUUUAUAGGAAAAAGAAAGCUUUACUAUUAUUUGAUUUACUUCAAUUUACAACUCAACAUUGACCAUAUUAUAUAGGAAGUAACACAAAACGAUAGACGGAAUAGCAAACUAGUUAUAGACUUAUAGGUCUGUAUGUUUUCACAUAUGUACUUGUUCUUUAGAACUUUUUCGAAUUGUUCAACCAAAAAUCAUUGAUUGGGUAGGUAAGAAAUCGUCCUUAGUUUAUAAUCAUAUAUAUAAAUAUAACACAGAUAAAACUGGAUCAUUCCAUUUCUGAAUCUCUCGGACAUGACACCAACUGAUCGAGAAAUACAUAAUGAUCAUGUACGUGUACAUGAGGAUAUGUUUGGCUUCAAAUCACUAUCAUAUAUUAUGGGGUUAAAUUAAACCCCACACGGACACACACAAAUAAAAAAGUUAUCAACAAUACUUAUAAGUACAAAACUAGAACAUAUGUACACAUAUUAGCUAGGUUUGUCUCAUGUCUUGCUCUCUAACUAUUGUAGUUUUUUUUCAUCAUUAGAUCCGUCUAAAAACUUAAUUAAAUAUCGAUUAAAUCCUUUAUCAAAAAAAAAAUAUCGAUUAAAUCAGCCAAUUAAAAAAUUAUUAUAAAGUUUUCCAUUUUAGUGGUUCUUAGUGAUUUUAUCGUUUUAUGAAUGUGAAAAAAGAUAACGUGAACCCUUUAUAAAAUAUAGUGUUUAUAGAAUUAAUGUACUGAAAAAGUGUAGUGUCAUCAAAAGAUUCAAAACUCUAAGACUACGAGUUAUUUAAUUAAUUAAUUUUUUUUUUUUUGAUAAAAUGUAGUUUAAAUUUUGAACUGAUGAUAGAGAUGGAGUUAAUUUUUUUUUUUUUUUGCAGCGUAAUUAAUGUUUCUAUUUUCUAUAUUAUUGUUAUUGGUUUUCCUUUGGGAAUAAUAUAGGUUUUUUUUUCGUCUAGAUUUAUUAUUUAUUGCAAAUUAUAAGAACUGUUAAGUAGACGAUUCUAUAACAGACAAUUCCUUCCGAUCCUUAUUAGAUACACGACCUCCUUCACCUCCUUCACCUCUUUCUUCAUGGUUUUGAUGGACACUUUCUUCUCUGUGUAGAAUCCUGGCGAACGGCUAUAAUUGUAUAUCGCUGGAGAUCUCUUACAUACUUACCUCCAAUAAUAUGCAAUUUAUUAAUAAAUCGCAGUAUCUGGAACUCGAAUCCCAAACUUCUGGAUGUAAAAGCAUUAAUGAACUUUUGAUCAACCAAUAGGCUAAAAGUGCUUCCACAGAAUAAUAUAGGUUAAAUAUUAGUAUUAAUUCUUAAUACAACAUUAAGAUAUUGUCUGGGACUAUCUUUUUCGGAACACAAUCCGAUUUGAUGAUCAUGAAUUUGUUGGACGGCAUCUCUUCUUCUUCUUUUUAUUGUUGGGACGGCAUCUCAAAGUUUGAUAAACGAAAUUUUUUAAACAACCACACAUUUAAAUUAAAAUUAAAAUAAGACUCCUAGUUGAUAAUUAAUUAAUUUAACAACCAAUAAUGAUAUAACUAAAGAUACAAACGAAUAUUAGGGAGAUCUCAACCACUCAUCAUGCGUAUCUCUUAAGUAAUUGCUUAAAACAUUAGAACUAUUGUCAACUUCGCUCAAGUUCGUGACGUGUAUUAAUUAAAGUGGAUAUUUAAAUCUAGAAUAAUGAGAUUUUAUUAAAAUAAUAUGUGAUUCUGUUCAUAUGCUUAUGGGUACUUAGAAAAAGAGGAGGCAAAAGAAACCAAGAUUUUGGGGAUAUGUAUAAUACUGUGUCGUAUCUUGAAUUACAAAAUAAAGGAAGAUUGAAUAUUAGAUAAUCUUCUAAAGUAUCUUAACAAAAAAUAAGAAUAUCUUUAAUUUUUGAUUCUUGAAUAACAAAAGUAAAGUCAAGAUUAGAAAAUAAUAAGGUGGUUCUAUUAUAUGCAUUGAACUUAGGCUUUUAUUUAUGGCAACUGGCAAAAUGCUUCUUAUUUCCGAAAAAGCAUCGUAUAAAUCAUAAUCUUGUAUAAUUAAGUGGUCUGAGUUUCACAUUUGUUAUGGCAUUUAUGAUGCGAGGCAUGUGCUUAUGAAUUUACACGUAUCCUGAUACUUGCGUAUAUUAGUCAUUUAAAAUUUCAAAAUAGUAUGUAUGUUUGUGUUAGGGUUAUCAACUCAUGCACGUAUAUAUACACUCAAACGAUCUUUUUUUUUGUGUGGGUAGUAUUACUAUCGAUCUGUUGAUAUAUUAGUUAUCUGGAACUUGUAUCUUACCACUUUCAAACUGCCCAAACGAUAUGUUUUCUCGUGGUUAGUAUUAUUACUUCAAUUGUCUCUAGAUCUUUCUAUGAUAUAACUCAGUAUGUCGUAGAGAUAACAGUUAUGUUCCUUCUCAAAUUCGCAGUUUUAUGUGUGAACAAUUCACAUAAAAUAUGGAAGCUCACCAAGGUGAUACUGAUAGCGUACAGAAAUCAGUUGUUAGGUUGGAAACAUCCUUGCAGAUUCCGACUAUAAUAGAGCCCAAAAGAUGGUUCCCACCUACACUUGCUUCAUACUCAUCCGAUGUUAUUGUAUUGGCCUUUAUUUUACUAUGCCCUUCCGAUUUUCCUUCCAAUAUAGGUCUUAGUGAUUCAUGCAUAUGUAUUAUAUAAAACCUUAUUUCCAUUCUAAAAAAU